AUGAAAGUCACGAAAACAAAAGACAGAGAGACAGACAAGAGUCGCACACCAGAGAGCACGGAGGGAGAAGACCGACAGCGGCAGUGGCUAGCUAGCCAGGGAAGGCGAGCCAUGGCGAGCGGGCCGAACGGGGGAGGCAAUGGCGGCAGCGGCGGCGGCGGCGGGCUGGUGAAGAACAUGAGCCUGCUGCGGCUGCAGUACUACUGCGUGCUGGGGGCGGUGGCCGGGGCCGUCCUGUUCGCGACGCUCCGCUACAUGCCGGCCGCCGGCAGCGGCGCGGCCCUCUCCACCACCUCCGCGCUCGCCACCGCCGCGGCGCCCGCCGGGGCCGGGGCGGGCGAGCACAGGAAGAUCAAGGGGACGGCACCGGCGCCCACGAAGGCGGCCGCGAAGGUGGUGACGAAGCCCAAGGAGGUGGUGGUGUUCAAUUUCGGCGACUCCAACUCUGACACGGGCGGGGUGGCGGCGAUAAUGGGGAUCCGCAUCGCGGCGCCGGAGGGGCGCGCCUACUUCCACCACCCCACCGGGCGGCUCUCCGACGGCCGCGUCGUCCUCGACUUCAUCUGUGAGACCUUAAACACGCACCACCUGAGCCCCUACAUGAAGCCGCUGGGUUCUGACUACAGCAACGGCGUUAACUUUGCCAUCGCCGGAGCGACUGCGACGCCAGGGGACACGCCGUUCUCACUUGACGUGCAGAUCGAUCAGUUCAUCUUCUACAGGGACAGAUGCAACGACUCCAUCACAAGAGAUGAGCCCGCCCCACUCAACAUGCUAGAUUUCGAAAGAGCUCUGUACACCAUGGACAUUGGGCAGAACGACAUCACUUCCAUUCUCUACCUGCCCUACGACGAAGUGCUCGCAAAGCUUCCCCACUUUGUUGCCGAAAUUAGGAAAGCCAUCGAGAUUUUGCAUAAGAACGGGGCGAGGAAGUUCUGGAUACACGGGACAGGUGCGCUGGGAUGCCUGCCGGCGAAGCUCGCGAUGCCGAGGGCCAGCGACGGCGACCUCGACGAGCACGGGUGCAUCGCCAAGUUCAACAACGCCGCCAAGAGGUUCAACACGUUGCUGAGCGAGGCCUGCGACGACCUGCGGUUGCUGCUGAAGAAAUCGUCCAUCAUCUUCGUGGACAUGUUCGCGAUCAAGUAUGAUCUCGUCGCCAACCACACCAAACAUGGGAUUGAGAAGCCAUUGAUGACAUGCUGCGGCCACGGAGGCCCCCCUUACAACUACGACCCCAAGAGGAGCUGCAUGGGCGACAGCAAGGACCUGUGCAAGCUUGGCGACAAGUUCAUCAGCUGGGACGGGGUCCAUUUCACCGACGCCGCAAACAGCAUCGUUGCCUCCAUGGCGAUCAGCGGCGAAUACUCCGUUCCUAGGAUGAAGCUCACCAGCUUGGUCAAGCCUGCAAAGGCCAAGGCUUCGUAA
rnacentral:rRNA from 1 species